AGGAGGAAGGAAUAAAUGACACCAAUUUCUGUAAUGGAAAGAAAAAAAGAAAAAAGUGUGUAUCGGAAACUGCUGCUGAGUGACUCAUGCUGCCAGACAAACGGAACCUCACUCAUCACUCCAUCUUCAUCCUCCUCUGGUUAUGUCUUCUUCCACCCUGAGAUGCCUUGACUAUGCAUGUGAAAAUGGCCAUGAAGAGCAUUACUCACUGGGCCUGGAAUAGGUCUCAUUGGAAGAUGGACUCAAGCCUGGCCUUAUCUCUGAGGCAGGAUUUCACCCUAGUGUUUAAAGGGAGAAAUUCAGGUCUGGAGAUGUGGCUUAUCCCUGUAAGCAUCCCUUAACUUGAAAUGCAGAUUACAGUUUGGUGUGGAUGA